rnacentral:rRNA from 1 species
UACAGAGGUCUCAAGCGUUGUUCGGAUUCAUUGGGCGUAAAGGGUGCGUAGGCGGUGCCGUAAGUCGGAUGUGAAAUCCCGGGGCUCAACCCCGGAACUGCAUUCGAUACUGCUGCGCUAGAGUACUGGAGAGGAGAUUGGAAUUUACGGUGUAGCAGUGAAAUGCGUAGAUAUCGUAAGGAAGACCAGUGGCGAAGGCGGAUCUCUGGACAGUUACCGACACUGAGGCACGAAGGCCAGGGGAGCAAACGGG